GGUUAGCUUGUUGCUGACUUUGAAAAUUUAUCUGAGCAAACCACUUCAAUUUUGCACAGUAUGACUAAAAUCUUGGAGUCAUAAAGGACAGAAGAAAGAAGUCAGUGAAGUUUAGCUGCUGUGCCCUGAGGGGUGAGGGAAAUGUGGUCGCCUAAAACACCAUCAAAGGUUGCUGCUUAAACACUUCCCUCAGCCAUAUAUGAAGGCUAAAUCAGAUAAAGAUCCCAGGAAGUGUGCAACAGGCACAAGAUUCAAAGGAAGCAGGCUGCUUUCUUGCAGCAAGACAAGGCAAGUUGGAAGAGAGGAUUAUUUUUCUUCUUCAAAGCUCUCACCCUCAGGAGGAUUCCUAUCAACUACUUUGGGAAAGAGUGCUGCAAAUACCGAAAGUCACAGUGGAUGUUAUGCUGGGUCAGAUUGAUGGCUAGGAGUGGGGAGCAGCUCAUAACAUUUCCUGACUAUCUUGUUGGCUUUUGGAAGACGCACGUCCAAAGGUAAGACAAAGAAAGAAGGCAAAAAAUAUAUAAAUGCCUGUAUGUUCACAUACAAUUAAAGUAUAAUGUGCAAAGUGCUUAAGACAGGCUUUUAAAACCCACUUAUAAAUACAAACUAAAAAGUGGAACAGAAUGGGUAGAAAAAACAGGCAGGAAAGCAGUAAAGACUCCUUUUGAGACCCCAUCACUCUUUCACAGCUGGCCAUAUUCAGCUUCAAAUUGCUAGUUUCAUUUUUCAAAUGGAGGCCUAGUAAGUCCCUUUAGAGCAAGGACGCUCAGCAUAGGCACUGGGUAGGUAAUCAGUAACUGUCUGUCAUUUAUUAAGUAGCCCCUCCUGUCACUCCAGUAAAACCUUAAGUGCAGCCAGGGAUCCUUCCUUCAGAUGUCUGACAUCAUGGGAUAUUUAGUAAGAAAGCUUAAUCCCUAUCUGUAAUGCUCUUCUAAAAAUUUAGGACAGGGUGGGUCUUCAAUAUCCUACAGUACCCUUUGAUUGCUUUCAGCAGAGGCCUAACUGGUUCUAUGAAUCAGCCCUGGCUUGGUGGCCAGUUAGUGCAAUACUCUGUGAACAGUAACCCAGUAAAUCAGACUCAACUCUUACCCAGAAUGUACUUCCCAGUAUCAUACAAAAGAGAGACGGUUGUUAAAAUUUUCUCAAUGAUUCUGUAU
rnacentral:lncRNA from 1 species